rnacentral:rRNA from 1 species
UACCACCCUGAAUGUGCCCGAUCUCGUCUGAUUUCAGAAGCUAACCAGGGUCGGGCCUGGUUAGUACUUGGAUGGGAGACAUAUACUAGGUCUAAUAAAAAU